rnacentral:rRNA from 1 species
UUACUGGGCUUAAAGCGUCCGUAGCUCGUUCAGAAAGUCCCCGGUGAAAUCCUACGGCUUAACCGUAGGGCUUGCCAGGGAAACUCCUGGACUUGAAGGCAGGAGAGGUCAGGGGUACGUCUGGGGUAGGGGUGAAAUCCUAUAAUCCUAGACGGACCAACAGUGGCGAAGGCGCCUGACAUGAAUGCGCUUGACAGUGAGGGACGAGAGCCAGGGUCGCGAAACGGAUUAGAUACCCGUGUAGUCCUGGCCGUAAACGAUGUUGACUAGGUGGGGCGUGACCUUAGCGGUCAUGCUAUGCCGAAGGGAAACCGUUAAGUCAACCGCCUGGGGAGUACGACCGCAAGGUUGAAACUUAAAGGAAUUGGCGGGGGAGCACUACAACGGGU